rnacentral:rRNA from 1 species
UACGGGGGGGGCAAGCGUUGUUCGGAAUUACUGGGCGUAAAGGGCGCGUAGGCGGCCAUCUAAGUCAGACGUGAAAUCCCCCGGCUUAACCUGGGAACUGCGUCUGAUACUGGAAGGCUUGAGUAUGGGAGAGGGAUGUAGAAUUCCAGGUGUAGCGGUGAAAUGCGUAGAUAUCUGGAGGAAUACCGGUGGCGAAGGCGGCAUCCUGGACCAUUACUGACGCUGAGGCGCGAAAG